AACGAACGCUGGCGGCAGGCCUAACACAUGCAAGUCGAACGCCGUAGCAAUACGGAGUGGCAGACGGGUGAGUAACGCGUGGGAACAUACCCCCUCGGUUCGGAAUAACUCAGGGAAACUUGAGCUAAUACCGGAUACGUCCGAGGUUUUGAUCGACCUUGGAGAAAGAUUUAUCGCCGAAGGAUUGGCCCGCGUCUGAUUAGCUUGUUGGUGAGGUAAUGGCUCACCAAGGCGACGAUCAGUAGCUGGUCUGAGAGGAUGAUCAGCCACAUUGGGACUGAGACACGGCCCAAACUCCUACGGGAGGCAGCAGUGGGGAAUAUUGGACAAUGGGCGAAAGCCUGAUCCAGCCAUGCCGCGUGAGUGAUGAAGGCCUUCUGGGUU
rnacentral:rRNA from 1 species